UCGUUGCUGUAUUCUUACUGAAUGUGCCAUCGAAAUUAUACAGGAUUCAUCAUAAUUAUCGGCUGUUUGUAUCAGACUUGCUAUACCACCAACACCAGCAUGGACCAAUCGCUCAUUCCAUCUUCUAGAGAACCUUGGAUAACUGAUCGGUGUUUUCAUGUGUUUAAAAUUACGGGUUUCUAAAUUGGC